AAUGAACGUUGGCGGCGUGGAUUAGGCAUGCAAGUCGUGCGAGAAGUCUUUUGCUUGCAUUAGACGGAAAGCGGCGAAAGGGAGAGUAACGCGUGGGUACCUACCUCUAGGUUCGGGAUAGCUGCGGGAAACUGUGAGUAAUACCGAAUAACAUCUCCGGAUCAAAGGUGUGAUUCCGCCUGGAGACGGGCCCGCGUCCUAUUAGCUUGUUGGUGGGGUAAUGGCUUACCAAGGCAAUGAUGGGUAUCGGGCGUGAGAGCGUGACCCGACUCACUGGGACUGAGACACUGCCCAGACACCUACGGGUGGCUGCAGUCGAGAAUCUUCGGCAAUGGGCGCAAGCCUGACCGAGCGACGCCGCGUGCGGGAUGAAGGCCCUCGGGUUGUAAACCGCUGUCAGUUGGGAGGAAAUCACAUGGGGUUCUCUCCAUGUGUUGACCUAUCUUCAGAGGAAGGACGGGCUAAGUUCGUGCCAGCCGCCGCAGUAACAC
rnacentral:rRNA from 1 species